rnacentral:rRNA from 1 species
UACAGAGGGGGCAAGCGUUGUUCGGAAUUACUGGGCGUAAAGGGCGCGUAGGCGGCCCUCUAAGUCAGACGUGAAAUCCCUCGGCUCAACCUGGGAACUGCGUCUGAUAUCGAGGACGUUGAGGAUGGGAGAGGGAUGUAGAAUUCCAGGUGUAGCGGUGAAAUGCGUAGAUAUCUGGAGGAAUACCGGUGGCGAAGGCGGCAUCCUGGACCAUUACUGACGCUGAGGCGCGAAAGCUAGGGGAGCAACGGG